AAACGACUCUCGGCAACGGAUAUCUCGGCUCACGCAUCGAUGAAGAACGUAGCAAAAUGCGAUACUUGGUGUGAAUUGCAGAAUCCCGUGAACCAUCGAGUUUUUGAACGCAAGUAGCGCCCGAAGCCAUCCGGUUGAGGGCACGCCUGCCUGGGCGUCACG
rnacentral:rRNA from 1 species